rnacentral:rRNA from 1 species
AUACGUAGGUGGAGAGCGUUGUCCGGACUUACUGGGCGUAAAGGAUGCGUAGGUGGAUACUUAAGUGGGAUGUGAAAUCCCCGGGCUCAACCCGGGAACUGCAUUCCAAACUGGGUAUCUAGAGUGCAGGAGAGGAAAGCGGAAUUCCUAGUGUAGAGGUGAAAUGCGUAGAUAUUAGGAGGAACACCAGUGGCGAAGGCGGCUUUCUGGACUGUACCUGACACUGAGGCAUAAAAGCGUGGGUAGCAAACAGGAUUAGAUCCCCUGGUAGCCCACGCCGUAAACGAUGGGUACUAGGUGUAGGAGGUAUCGACCCCUUCUGUGCCGUCGUUAACACAAUAAGUACCCCGCCUUGGGAGUACGGUCGCAAGACUAAAACUCAAAUGAAUUGACGGGG